rnacentral:rRNA from 1 species
AAUUUUGAUGUGUAGGAUAGGUGGGAGCCUUUGAAGCAGUGACGCCAGUCAUUGUGGAGGCGACCUUGAAAUACCACCCUUUAACGUUUGAGGCUCUAACGAAGUGCCUGAAACGGGUACUCGGACAGUGUCUGGUGGGUAGUUUGACUGGGGCGGUCUCCUCCCAAAGCGUAACGGAGGAGCACGAAGGUUUGCUAAUGACGGUCGGACAUCGUCAGGUUAGUGCAAUGGUAUAAGCAAGCUUAACUGCGAGACAGACAAGUCGAGCAGGUGCGAAAGCAGGUCAUAGUGAUCCGGUGGUUCUGAAUGGAAGGGCCAUCGCUCAACGGAUAAAAGGUACUCCGGGGAUAACAGGCUGAUACCGCCCAAGAGUUCAUAUCGACGGCGGUGUUUGGCACCUCGAUGUCGGCUCAUCACAUCCUGGGGCUGAAGUAGGUCCCAAGGGUAUGGCUGUUCGCCAUUUAAAGUGGUACGCGAGCUGGGUUUAGAACGUCGUGAGACAGUUCGGUCCCUAUCUGCCGUGGGCGUUGGAUGAUUGAUUGGGGCUGCUCCUAGUACGAGAGGACCGGAGUGGACGCAUCACUGGUGUUCCAGUUGUCUCGCCAGAGGCAUUGCUGGGUAGCUAAAUGCGGAAGAGAUAAGUGCUGAAAGCAUCUAAGCACGAAACUUGCCAA